CGUCACUUGCCUCUGUUUCCCGCGCCAUUCGACGUGCACGCGCGGGGACGAACAGGCACGUAACCGCUGGGAGACUGUCUGGAGUCUGUCUGAAAAUUGAUAAAAUUGGAGAUGGAGUUUUUUUUGCGUCUGUUUGAAGGUUUGCGCCGAAGCCGCCUGCUGGAAAUGGGAUUUCUUUUUUUUAUAUAUAUGGCUCACCUCCUCAAAAAACGCCUUCGCCCUGGAGACGCCGGGCUGAGCCAAAAAUAUGUUUUUAGAUAAACGCUGUGAAAGUUUUUUUUCUUCUCUCUGCAGUCUCUCACGCAGACAGCUCUUUACGCACAGCUCGCCCAAGGGAGCAGCCAUCGGCCGCUGGAGUUCAAGAGGAGUGCACCGUCCAGGAAGCCGUCUGCACCGUCUCAGAGAGGUGUUCUCGUCCUGCCUCCUCUCAUGACUUCACUGUGUUUCGGGUGCUUCGGCGCGUCUUCUGAAAUAGGUCCACCUUCCACUUCAUAACGACUCCAUCGCAAGGCCGUCCACAUCCAAACUGCAGGGAGGAGAAUCUUUCAGUGAGCCGCUGGUGAAACUAGGAAGGAAGAUGUCAUGCUAAGGAUGGUUGUUUUCUUUUUUUUUUUUUGGGGUGAUGAUGUUGCUGCUGUUGAUGCAGCAUCGAGCUCUCACUUUGUGCCUCUGUCAGCUAUGAUGCGUAACCACAGAGUGAGUGACAGGCCGGUCCCCGGGGAGAGCAAGGGGGCCUGAGGUGAGUCAGACGUCUCCUUGACCCUGUCGAGCUGUGUCAGCAAGCAACACCAACUCGGUGAGAAAAGCCAGAAAUGGCAUGACUGUACGUUGUACAUCUUAAUUUAGUAUGUAGAAGAAGAAGUAAACGGCCCCUUCAGCUCGGCUAUCUGUGCACAAACUCCCUCCAUGCAGGAUCUCUGUCAUUAAACUGCAGCCCUGCACAUUACCACUCA